UAAAAGGGCCUCUGCCGAUCAUGGCACACGGGAUGGCUAAACGGCCGUAAGUCCUGUGCGGAAUCGCAAUCAAGAGAUUUCGGAGGCAAAAUUUUUAUAUCUUGAGGCUGCUGGUGCUCGCUAUGCCCGGCGCCCUU
rnacentral:snRNA from 2 species